UACGAAGGGGGCUAGCGUUGUUCGGAAUUACUGGGCGUAAAGGGCGCGUAGGCGGUCCUUCAAGUCAGGCGUGAAAGCCCCGGGCUCAACCUGGGAACCGCGCUUGAGACUGGCGGGCUAGAGUGUGUCAGAGGAUGGUGGAAUUCCCGGUGUAGCGGUGAAAUGCGUAGAGAUCGGGAGGAACAUCAGUGGCGAAGGCGGCCAUCUGGGACAACACUGACGCUGAGGCACGAAAGCGUGGGGAGCAAACAGG
rnacentral:rRNA from 1 species